AAUAUUUUGCGUCUUCCAGAGGGGAAGCAGAUCUCGUGUAAAGUUGUUGGUGCAGUCGUAUUAGCACUUAAUUUUAGCACUUUAAAUUGAGCUUUUUAACUUAAAUAGUUACAUUUUGCGCUUAACUUCUACAAUUAAUAGCGAGCAGAGUGUCUAUGUCAAUUGCAAGAAGCUGUGCUCGCUCAUAUCACUUUCAGACUGUCGGCUUGACAAACAACAUGCAAAAUAUGUGGUAAUCCUGUCAAAAUCCAGACUGAACGAGCUGGAGAUGGAAUUCACCAUCUGAUUAGUUAGAAAACGAUAGCUGCUUAAUAAUGACUAAAGACACCUUAUGAAGGGAAUUAUGAUCCGUGUUGUUAUCCUAUAAGCGUCAAGCCAUCAAGAAAAAACGUGGCAAACCAUACCAGUGAAGUCUUUGACCCCAGAGGGUUCAGCUUGCAGUAUAUCCAAUACCUAAAAAUCUAAACGUUUUAAACAGAAAGUAAAAAAAGCCUGCACUACAGUCUGCACGGGAUAUAUCCUGCUGCAUUAUAGAUUUGACCUUUAAGUUACUUACAGUUUUUCGACAUGUACCAACAUGUACCAAGAGCGCAUAACAAAUGACAGAUAUGAACAGCUCCUCAGUUACCCAAUACACUCAAGUGAGGCCCUGCCUGAGGACAGUCCCCUGGAUGAGUGUUGUGGUACUUGACAUGUCACCGAGUGCCAGACUCCACACAAACAGUAUAAAGACAAGUACGGUCAUUCUUUAAGAAGAAUUGCUUUUUGGGACAACUCAAGGUUCUGGGUGAUUCUGACUCUGCAACCUAGUCAAACAAAUCGGUUCUUGUUUCCAGGGCUUGACUUUUUUUGCUCACCAGUCACUCUGGCCACAAUUUUGUUGUUGAGAAACGUUCUACGUGAAUAAAGCUGACUAUAACGUGUUUAUAUUUAUAUAC